GGGUCAGUAGGUUGGUCGUGCCACCGGUACGUACUGGUCUCACUGAUUCCUCCUUCCUGAAGAACCGUAAUGCCAUUAAUUUGGUGUUGCGGGGAAACAGGACCGUUACUUUGAAAAAAUUAGAGUGUUUAAAGCAAGCUAACGCUUGAAUACAUUAGCAUGGAAUAAUGAAAUAGGACGAUCGACCCUAUUUUGCUGGUUUCUAGGAUUGACGUA
rnacentral:rRNA from 1 species